rnacentral:rRNA from 1 species
GAGGGUGCGAGCGUUGUCCGGAAUCGACUGGGCGUAAAGGGCGCGUAGGCGGUUUUGUAAGUUGGGGGUGAAAUGCUGCGGCUCAACCGCAGCGCUGCCCUCAAGACUGCAAGACUUGAGCACGGUAGAGGCGGAUGGAAUUCCCGGUGUAGCGGUGGAAUGCGUAGAGAUCGGGAAGGACACCAAUGGCGAAGGCAGUCCGCUGGGCCGUUGCUGACGCUGAGGCGCGACAGCGUGGGGAGCAAACAGGAUUAGAUACCCUGGUAGUCCACGCCGUAAACGAUGGGCACUAGGCGUCGGGGGAGCGACCCUCCCGGUGCCGUCGCUAACGCAGUAAGUGCCCCGCCUGGGGAGUACGGCCGCAAGGUUG